AGCUCAUGGUAAGUCUACCUUGGAUGGUUUAGACAUUAUGGCUAUCGAUCAAAAUCCUUAUGGAGAAAAUGAUUGGGAUUUUUACUUCCGGAACCACGCUGUUGAGUUCUAUUAAUGUGUGGUCUCAA